GUCCUACGGGGCGCAGCAGUAGGGAAUCUUCCACAAUGGGCGAAAGCCUGAUGGAGCAACGCCGCGUGGGUGAAGAAGGUCUUCGGAUCGUAAAACCCUGUUGUUAGAGAAGAAAGUGCGUGAGAGUAACUGUUCACGUUUCGACGGGAUCUAACCAGAAAGCCACGGCUAACUACGUGCCAGCAGCCGCGGUAAUACGUAGGUGGCAAGCGUUAUCCGUAUUUAUUGGGCGUAAAGUGAACGCAGUCAGUCUUUUAAGUCUGAUUUGAAAGCCUUCGGC
rnacentral:rRNA from 1 species